rnacentral:lncRNA from 1 species
CUGUAGGAAAAGCAAGCACGUUCAUGGAGCCCCUGCCUCCAGACGGCUUCCCAGGGUCCCCCUCUGCGGGAGUCACUCAGGGAAGACUCCUUCCCGCAUCCCGGCUCCCCAACACAGACGGGGGCCCUGCUGCUCAGGCAGAGCCUCCUCUGAGGGGGUUACCCUUCCCGGCAGACUCCAGGGUGGUGGCUUCCCUUUGUCGCUGAGCCAGAUGCUGGGAGCUGGAGAAGAAAUGGUGUUCAAAACUCAAGUUCCCAUUCAGUUUGGCAUGAAAAAGUUGGAGGGACCAUUGCAACUCAUAGUACUCCCUCUUCUAUAUCUCUCCAUGCCUCCACUUAAUGGAUUCUCCAAGAAGGAAGCUCAUUCCCAUAGUUAGAAGCCUGAGGAACCAGGGGAACUUGAGGUUUGGAGACAGGUUCUAAACAAGAGGAGAAGCAACAGAAAGACAAAGAAGAUAGAAGGAACAAGGGUUGGGGAAGGAGAACAAAGGCUCCUCUAAUCCCAGAAGUUUCUGAGUGUCCUUAAGAAUGUAACUUAGUGUUGAUUUUUGGUGGAAAAAAAAUCUUUCCUCAUAUGACACUCAAAAACUUUCUUUCUCUCUCUUUCCUCUGCCCUGAUAGCAGUUAAUUUUGUACAAGUUGGAGUGCAUUCAAUCCAGUGUAUAUGCCUAAAUGACUUCCGGCUCGAAUGCCUCAUUAGAAUGCCGGCUGUGAGGCUCACUGUUCUGCUCUCAGGCAUCCUCAAAGAGGCCUAAGGAGGAUCAUAGAAUGACAGUAUCAUAGAAUCUUAAAGAUGAAUCAGAAUAUAAGAAUCACAUAAUUAUAAAAUCUAAAGGACCUUAGAUAUCAUCUAGUCUAACUGUCUCUCUCUCUCUCUCUCUCUCUCUCUCUCUUUCUCACAGAAAGAAGGAAGCUGAGCUGUAGAGAUGGAAAGGAUUUUCUCAAGGUCAUACAAGUCAGUGGUACAGCUGGGAUAAGAUCUCAGGUGUGCUGGUUCCACUUUGCUAUACCUUCUUCUGUGUCACAAUAUCAUUUCCUAAUGUGACUGGUCAGAGGCUAUUGUUGGGGGUUAAUAUUUCUUCAAUAAAAUUUUAUUUGACCU